CAGUCGCCGCGGUAAUGCGAAGGGGGCUAGCGUUGUUCGGAUUUACUGGGCGUAAAGCGCACGUAGGCGGACUUUUAAGUCAGGGGUGAAAUCCCGGGGCUCAACCCCGGAACUGCCUUUGAUACUGGGAGUCUUGAGUUCGAGAGAGGUGAGUGGAAUUGCGAGUGUAGAGGCGAAAUUCGUAGAUAUUCGCAGGAACACCAGUGGCGAAGGCGGCUCACUGGCUCGAUACUGACGCUGAGGUGCGAAAGCGUGGGGAGCAAACAGGAUUAGAUACCCGCGUAGUCCCUGUCUCUUAUAC
rnacentral:rRNA from 1 species